GCCCCUGUAGCUCAGUGGAUUAGAGCAACUGCCUUCUAAGCAGUGGGUCGGGGGUUCGAAUCCCUCCAGGGGUA
rnacentral:tRNA from 1 species